UGGCUCAGAUUGAACGCUGGCGGCAUGCUUUACACAUGCAAGUCGAACGGCAGCGCGGGGCAACCUGGCGGCGAGUGGCGAACGGGUGAGUAAUACAUCGGAACGUACCCAGAAGUGGGGGAUAACGUAGCGAAAGUUACGCUAAUACCGCAUACGUUCUACGGAAGAAAGUGGGGGACCUUCGGGCCUCAUGCUUUUGGAGCGGCCGAUGUCUGAUUAGCUAGUUGGUGAGGUAAAGGCUCACCAAGGCGACGAUCAGUAGCUGGUCUGAGAGGACGACCAGCCACACUGGGACUGAGACACGGCCCAGACUCCUACGGGAGGCAGCAGUGGGGAAUUUUGGACAAUGGGCGCAAGCCUGAUCCAGCAAUGCCGCGUGAGUGAAGAAGGCCUUCGGGUUGUAAAGCUCUUUUGUCAGGGAAGAAACGGCUGAGGAUAAUACCUUUGGCUAAUGACGGUACCUGAAGAAUAAGCACCGGCUAACUACGUGCCAGCAGCCGCGGUAAUACGUAGGGUGCAAGCGUUAAUCGGAAUUACUGGGCGUAAAGCGUGCGCAGGCGGUUUUGUAAGUCUGACGUGAAAUCCCCGGGCUCAACCUGGGAAUUGCGUUGGAGACUGCAAGGCUGGAGUCUGGCAGAGGGGGGUAGAAUUCCACGUGUAGCAGUGAAAUGCGUAGAGAUGUGGAGGA
rnacentral:rRNA from 2 species